rnacentral:rRNA from 1 species
AUUAAACGCUGGCGGCAUGCCUUACACAUGCAAGUCGAACGGCAGCACGGGGGCAACCCUGGUGGCGAGUGGCGGACGGGUGAGUAAAGCAUCGGAACGUAUCCUGGAGUGGGGGAUAACGUAGCGAAAGUUACGCUAAUACCGCAUAUUCUGUGAGCAGGAAAGCAGGGGAUCGCAAGACCUUGCGCUCUGGGAGCGGCCGAUGUCGGAUUAGCUAGUUGGUGGGGUAAAGGCCUACCAAGGCGACGAUCCAUAGCGGGUCUGAGAGGAUGAUCCGCCACACUGGGACUGAGACACGGCCCAGACUCCUACGGGAGGCAGCAGUGGGGAAUAUUGCACAAUGGGCGCAAGCCUGAUGCAGCGACGCCGCGUGAGGGAUGACGGCCUC